rnacentral:rRNA from 1 species
UACAGGGGGUGCAAACGUUGCUCGGACUCAUUGGGCGUAAAGCGCACGUAGGCGGUCUGUUAUGUCGGAUGUGAAAGCCCUCGGCUCAACUGAGGAAGUGCAUCCGAAACUGGCAGGCUAGAGUACUAAAGAGGGUCGCGGAAUUCCCGGUGUAGAGGUGAAAUUCGUAGAUAUCGGGAGGAACACCGGUGGCGAAGGCGGCGACCUGGGUAGAUACUGACGCUGAGGUGCGAAAGCGUGGGGAGCAAACAGG